CGAGUCGGUCGGGCGGUCGCGUUGGGUGCCUUCGGGCGCCCGCCGAGGAACGUCCGGGCUCCACAGGGCAAGGUGGUGGUUAACAGCCACCCGGGGUGACCCGCGGGACAGUGCCACAGAAAACAGACCGCCCACGGCCGCAAGGCCGGGGGUAAGGGUGAAACGGUGGUGUAAGAGACCACCAGCGCUGCCGGUGACGGCAGCGGCUAGGUAAACCCCACCUGGAGCAAGGUCAGACAGACUGUGUUUGAGGGCUGCCCGCCCGACUCUCUUCGGAGAGGCACAGUCGGGUAGACCGCUCGAGCCCUGCGGCAACGCAGGGCCUAGAUGGAUGACCGUCGCCCGCGCGGGGGUAACCGCGCGCGGGAACAGAACCCGGCGUACAGGCUGGCUCGUCCG
rnacentral:RNase_P_RNA from 1 species